AGUGAACGCUGGCGGCAGGCCUAACACAUGCAAGUCGAGCGGCAGCGGGUCCUUCGGGUUGCCGGCGAGCGGCGGACGGGUGAGGAAUACAUCGGAAUCAGCCCUGUCGUGGGGGAUAAUCUCGGGAAACUUAGGCUAAUACUGCAUACGACCUACGGGUGAAAGCGGGUGAUGGUAAGAACUCUCGCGACAGGAUGAGUCGAUGUCCGAUUGGCUAGCUGGCGGGGUAAGGGGCCACUUAGGGGACGAUCGGCAGCUGGUCUGAGUGGGAGAUUGGCCACACUGGGAGUGGGACACGGACCAGACGCCUACGAGAGGGAGCAGUGGGGAAUAUUGGGCAGUAGGCGCAAGCAUUGUCCAGCGGUCGCGAGUGGGAGAAGAAGACGUCCGGGUUGUAAAGCCCUUUUGUCCGGGAUGAAACGGUCUGGGCUAAUACCCCGGGCGAGUGACGGUACCGGGAGAAUAAGCACCGGCUAACUUCGUG
rnacentral:rRNA from 1 species